ACCAUCUGUCUUUGUCUCCAAGACAAGGAUGCCCCACUCACAUUUGCUACAUACUCUAUGAGCCCCAUUAUAUUGAGUGUGCUUUCUAAAGAGGAUCAGUUUACUUGAAAUUUGAGCAAGUGAAAUAGAGAAGUGAUAAUUUUUUGUGAAUUCUUUCUCAAUAAGAAACAAUUUACCACCCUCAACAAUCUGGUUGCUGAUAGAUAAAAAUAUGGAGUACAAAACUGAGGAGUUCCCAGGAAUCUGUGUGGAAAGUGCAACGUCGGUUGGAAUAUUUUUUUCAAAUAAAUCAAAUUUUAAUAAGUGUGCGUUACUGUUGCUAAAAUAAAUCUGCUACUCCAGGGAAACAGGGUCUUGAUUUCCCAAGCUUUGGAUGAGAAAAUGGAGUUUUGGGACUCAGUACCAUUUUCAAAUGAAAUUUCCUUCCUACAAGUCAUGAGUCUAUAAUUAACUUUGCCUAUUGUGCUUAGAACUGUUUGUGAGCUGAAAAAAUAACAAGGGGAAGAAUUACCAGCUUCAAGUUGGAAAAGUCGGUGUUCCAAAUUUACUGAAAGAUUGUGGCAUCCAGUGUCCAGAGAACCUGGUAGACCUAUACAGAUAAAAAUAAAAGUUGUACAAUCAAGCAAAACUAGGCUCUGCUGAUAGGAACAAUUCCCUUGAUAAAACUAAUACCUUUCCAGAACUAACUAGCAUGUAAUAGUAUUUUUUUUACAUCAUCAGGUGUAAAAUAAAUAUUUUCCCAGUAAUUUUUCAUGUUGUUGUUAAUAUAUAUUAAAGCAAACUAACAAAAACCUCCAACCCUCUAAAAUUGUACUAAAAUGCUACUAAUGCACAGAAGCAACUAAAUUUUUCUAGGUUGAAGAAAUUUUUUUGUUAUAACUGUGAAACUGGCUCUGCAAAAAAGAGUUUGUUUCAUUCUACUAAAUGGUGGUGAAAAAGCACAAGGGAGUUUUUGGGGAGGGAACAGUUCCUGUGACACCAUACCAUUUUCUUUUAAUGUGCAGGGUGGAUGCUUUGUGUUUUUAUGGUGAGAUCUUAUUUUAAUGAAGGCAUAAACACUAGUAGAGGAAAGUUUCUGCAUAGAUACUGUGAAAUUGAGUCCAUCCAGCAGUGCUUGCUAAAGGUGUACUUUAGCAGUACUGUAAAGCACUGUAAAGGUAGAUUCCUUUUUCAUACCCAUUUCCAUGGGUAACAAAGGUCCUACAUGUAGAAUAAAAUCAUUAAUGUGCUUCCAUGAUCAUGUUCCAAUUAUUCACAACUGAAACAAAUAGCAACAUAGAACCACAAAAUAUUGCUGCAUCUCCAAGUUGCAAUUUUGCAACAGUUACUGCACUUUACAAUUCAUUAAAAAAAAAAAAUUUGACCUAAUAAAGAGAGUUUACAGAUAAUAUUGAUAGUGUUUUAGCCUUGUCAACAGACUUGGAGAACGCAUUUCUACGUAGAAGGAAAAUUACACAGUGCAAAGUGUGUUCCUUAUAAGUCUACUUUUGCACAUACCAUCUUUGAACACUAGGGAAAUAUGCCAGAAUCCUUUUAAUUACACUUUUGAAUAUUGGAUAACAUUGCCAUUGUACUUAAAAAAAAAAAAGAAAAAAAAGAUAACUUCUGUGAAAGAAGCAAUUCCCUUAGGAAAGUCAAUGGGAAAAGUACUGUAAAGACAUAUUUAUAAUAUUUAUAUCAAAGUAAUUAUCACCUGUUCACUUCCUCUCUUCUCCUAGAUGAGAGAGGAGGGCUGUCUUUUGAGAGAAAAAAAAUUAAACUGCCUGUUUCCUCCAUUCAGUUUUCCUUCCUCUGUUUAACACAGCUGCUUCCUUGAGAGCACGUGUCCUUCUGUGUCAUGCUGCCUUCAUGACAAGGAUCCAGUGCAAAAAAGGGAAGUUUACUUACCCAGUACACGUGGUAGUCCUUUCAGACCAUCUUUUCCAGGGAUAUCAGGUAGCCCAGAAAUUUCUGGAAAUUUACUCAAUGCGUGGCAAGUCACUAUCAAAGCAGCUACAGCUGUGAGUACGUAGGAUGAGUAAGAAAACAUGAUUGCUCAGGCCAGCUGUAAGGAAACCCACACAUUUGUCAGGCAGUGAUUUUGUAAGAAAUUGUUGGCAUUGGCUUAUAAUUGAAAAUUCUGGAAAUUUACAUUAUUUCCUUGUUUAAAUACAGUCUAUACUUUAGGUAUAAGAGAUUUCCCAGAUUUAUUUUCUACCAUUGUGUAGCUUAUACACAAAACUCUUUUUAGUCUGAUUCAGCUUGAUGCGCUCAUUACAGAAUGAUAGCCACACAUUUGGAAGCAGUGAAGAUAAAUUAUCCCUUUUGCUAUCACUGACUAUUUGUUGGAUUAAUCCUCGAGAAAUGAUGGGCUUGGAUGUAACUGAUCACACUUAAGCCAUUAGUUGGCUGUUAAGGACUAUAAUCACUCAAUGAUUUUAUGAUACCAACCUGAAAGGCACAAUCUGUUACAGUGGUUAUUGCAAUGUUUUGGAGCUAGUUAGCAAUCUCUUUAACCACAGUACUCUUUAAGCACAUUUGUUUGACAUAAACAGACUGAUAGUGUUUUACACAUGGGCAAAAUUUUAUAGCUCAAUUGACAUUCCUAUCUUGUUUUGAACAAAAUUCCACAAGCUUGAAAAUGUCAGAGUUAUUCUUGUGGAAAAUGCAUUUUUGCUGGUUGGCAAUAGGCCUAUUCAUCUUAUUUUAUCCUUUCAGAUAUAACAUUAAUCAGGGUUCUAAUCCUAGUGCUGAGAUAUCAUGACUAAAAAGCACUCAAAUUAUAUCAUCAUAGGUUUACAACAUAGCGAGUGGGUAUUCUGUGCAGUUACAAAACCUGAAUUGAAAGACUGUAAGUUACUGUGGCAUGGAGAUACCCAGUUAUUGACAUCAUUCAGUCAAAAUAAUAAGAGGUGUAAAGCAAGGUUCAAGAGACCAGAAUUGAUAUCCAUUUCUAAUAGGUGAUCCUGUUGGGUUGAUUCUCAUACAAAAUAUGUAGCUUAAUAUCCAUGCUUCACUUUUCUAUUGGCAUGAAUUAGAGAGGAUCCUGUACUACUCUCUCUCAAAAACUUCCAUCCUUAAAGAGAAAAUCAGAAUUGACAAUCAUAAUAUGUUCUAAAUCCAGCACCACUCAAAAUUGAAAAUAAAACUUUAGUUGGCUUGAAUGCUGCAAGAUUUUAAAAUCUGGGUUCAUCAGUAAUAACAAGAUAUUUGUUUCAAAGUAUAUAUGCCAAGCAGAAUCAAGAUAUCAGUUUAUUACCAUUUGUUAAUUGGGCUGAACUUUUUGAAAAGAGAAGUAUUGUUUAUAUCUUCCAGAUUGAUUCUGUCAUAGAAGAGUUUUGAGAUUAUUCUUAAUGUGCAUCAACACUAACUUGUUUUUCUAGGGGAAUGUCUUAUCAAAGUCAAUUCAGUAGGUCAUACCCUUCAACAUAAGAAUAUUCAAUUAUGUCAUAAAUUUGUAGCAUAUAGUAUCUGUUUAAUUAAUAGCAGUAUCUAUUCCUCAUGAUCAAGAAUUUCCACUUUAACGAGUGGGAACACACGAGCAGUAUUAAAAGUGCUGUUGAGUUUUGUCUGUUGAAUCUGAAGUGUCUUGAGCUGUUUACCCUUUGCUAUACUGAAGGCUAGCAGACACCUCUGAAAAUGCUGGCCAAUGACUUAGAGAGAGCAGAUUAUUAAACCUACCUUAGGUGGCUAGGAAUACUUACAUCCCUGAGAUAAGCAAAUGCAAUUACAACAUGUACCCUUUGCCUGAUGAUCAUCAUUCAGGGAAUUACAUUUGAAUGGACUACUGCAUCCAGCUCAUAAUUGGAUUAUGAUGCAAAGUCAAAGUCUUGAUCAAUUAUAAAGCAAAAUGGAAAAAAACCCAGCUCUUCAGUUUUAAUCCACUUUUAAUGACCCUCAUCAGUCAUUACUAUCUAGUGGCCUUCAGGCGUGUCCUCAUCUACUAAAAUUGCUAGUAUAAGCAAAGUAAAAAAUGACUAAUAAAGGAAAAUUUCAUUUUAAAAUGUAAGUAUGACCACAGAAAUAAAAAGAAAUGGGUUUGCCUUCUAGCUGAAAUUCCUUGUGAUUUAUGAAGAGGAAAUCUGACUUACCCUUCUGCUUCAAAGUGAAAUGAAAGUGCAGUUCACACAAGUCCCCUUUAUAUGGUGUCAUGUUUGUUGAAUGACACUGCUGAGGUGGAGACUCAACACUGAGGGCACAAAUGUGUUUUUUUAGUUUCACUCACACAUUUGUGAUGCAAGUACUGAGAUCAGUUUUAAGGUUUGAGCAAUUUCUUAUUCUUUUAUAACAAUAAAAAGCCAAAGUUGUAGAAAAUACAAUCUAGAACUAACAGAUAACUCCAGAUUUGUAGACACAAACAAAAUGUAUAAAAACGUGAAGUAACUUUCCGUGAUUCCAGGUCAUAUUGUAAAAACUGUUUCUUGUUUUACAAAAGCAAAAAUGUCAUAUGACUACCAGUGGUUUUUGUGAAAGGAAAGGUACUCCUGUGAAUUAAGGAAGCGUGAUACCUCCCAGAUAGUCUGUCCUGGAAGUCAGAAUUCUAAACUUUGCUUCCCAUCUCUGUGCAUGAUGUACUUGCCUUACCUUAAUAUAAUUUUCUAGCUGUGUGUUAUGUUCAGUGUUUCCAUGAGCUUGUGGUCUCUCUUGCAUGUAGAGUACCAUUGAUCCUUUCUUGGCCAGAGACGGAUCUUGGAAAAACCUGUAUAUGUGCACAAAAUUCUCAAAUGGGCAACAUUUUCAAGAAAAAAGAAACCAGAGUUUUUGUUCCUCUGGUUUCCCAGGAAUAAAUAUUGUGAUCUUCUGGGAAUAGCAUGGACACCAGGCAACUCAGCACCAUUGAGACACAGGUAAUCUGUUUCUGAAGGGUAGCAGACCUCUGGGGUACUUAGGAAAUUUCUUUAGUUGCAGGAUAAGAUGAAACUUAAUGGAUCCAGAUUUUGAGAAGUAAUAUUUUAAAUUACUAGGUGUCCAAGUUCUUGCCCAAGUUCUAACUUGCCAGAAAACAGUCUCAUACAGAUCUAGUUUCUAGGCAGCUCUGCAACAGUUGUAAGGGUUAAUUUUUCUGCUGUAUCACUGUACCUAUAUAUCCUUCCAUGUAGAUACAUGCAACUUUAAUACAUGAACAUGAUAUAAUCUCUGCAGAUUUGUAUUGUUUUCUUCCACCUAACACAGUUCAUAGUUAUAAAAAAUUGAAUAAAGAACCGAAAACAUUAAACAGGGAAAUCAGUUAAGCCCUACCAGUUAUUAUCUCUGUCCAUUCAGGAUAGCGUGGCAGGAGCAAAACAUGGCUUAUAAUGUAGGAAAAGCUUAUAAAUUAUUAUCUCUUACCAAAACUUUCAAGGAAACAUACAUUUGAUAACAGUUGUUCUCCCAUGAGUCACACUGUACUUACACAAUGGAUGCUGAUAAGAAAUCUAAACCAUAAUCCAACGUGAGAGAUUACUCAGCCAUUUCCUUAGUUAUGUGGCAGAGAAUGAGGGAAAACAAAUAUACUAAAAUAAGGAAGAAAGAAAGUAAAUAUUUUUUUCUGCAACCUAGCAUCCCUGUAGAAUAGCUACGAGGUAUUCUGAAAUUUGCAGGUAAACCUGCCUGGUAAUGGCUGAAGGUCUUUAGCUGGGAAACACACACAAAAUCCAGUCAGGGAACUUUAGCAGCUUCAGGGGGCCUCAGGUACUGCAUACCUCUUUCUAUCAUUAAGAAGAACAAUAAAAGUUCUAAAUAUGCUGUUUUGUUAAUGCCAGUGAAUUAAACCCAAACCCUGCAAUGGCCUUCUCAACCAUCAGAAAAGGAGAACUUGGGGAAAAAAGGAAUCUGAUUUUCAAAGAUGGCAUGUACCCAGAAAGACUGCUUCUUUAUAUAACAGCUGUGGAUGCUACCCUCAAAAACUAACCACCAAGGGGGGGGGGGGGGUAAAAACCAGAACUAAUGUUUUAUAGCCUUCACACCUCUCAUUUUCAGAAUGCAAGGUAAACUCUUCAUUUUGGUCACAUCGUCUUGAAGUGAGCUGAUUACUAACUGAUUAUGAUAACUUAUCAUAUCCUAAAUAGCAUGAAGUUUAUGCCACACUCAAAGCACAGUGUUGUACAGCCUUGCUUGUUUAUUUUAGCAAUUUGUCAGACAUUAAUCUCAAAUGUGUCACUCUGCUGCAAGUUCCUGAUACCGGCUCUCUGAGCCUGUCCUUGGCACAACAUCUGUGUGGCAAGCAGGUGUGGUCAAUUCUCCACAUUUACCUUGUUCAAAACAACAGUCAUUUUUAAUAUUUGUCUAGUAUUUCCACUGUAAUCUAUUUGCUGUGCUGCUACAGAGCUUUAAAUCAUACAGAGGUUAAGUGCCUAGUUAGUUUUAAGAAUUCUCAUUGGCAUCAGCUUAAGACCUCAUGAGAAAUAUAGAGCACUAAACAUAUGUCACCUCUUAAAUCAUGAAACAAUCCAAUGGCUGAAGUCCUACCUCCUCUCCACGUGCAGUUUAACUUUACUGAGACAAUAUGGGAAGGUAAACAGUCCCCCCCUUUGGAAAAUAAUUUGUAUGCUAAUUUACAGUGCACUGAUGCAGGAAUGGGAUGAAAAAAAUGCAGAGAAUAUGGUACCUUACUACACUGCUAAUACUGAAAGACAAGAAAUUCUGCUGUAGGUAAGUCUUAAAAUUUGUAUUAGUGCUGUGUGUACCCUAGACUUGUGCCACUUUAAUCUGAGGAUAAGAAUCUCACAGGAAGAAUGCGAUUGCUGAUGAGACACAUUUAUAUUUAUGAAAAAAUAUGGCAUCAGUGACAUGCUGUCAGCUUAAUAGCACACUUAUUUUGGGCAAUGGAUCCCAGGGCAGAGAUUCUGAUGGAGGAAAUAAGGAAUGCUGAUAUAGAUCAUGAGGUUCCCAAAAAGAGGAUAAUGGAGAUAGGGAACAGAGCUUGGAAUAGUGGAUUUUAAAGAGCUGGCUCCACUAGACUGUACUGAAUAGCCCUCUCAUAGCAUUGCUAUUGCAAAAUACAGAAAGUAUAAACUUAAGACAAAAAAAAUAAAAAAAAAGUCUUUAAGCAAUUUAUUCAAUUUAUUUCAAUUUAUUUUCCAUUCCAGGAAAAGCAAUUCAAACUAUGCUAUCAAGAAAAGAGAUGACCAGGUUUUCAGAGUUUUUUU